rnacentral:rRNA from 1 species
CAACAGGGAUUGCCUUAGUAACUGCGAGUGAAAGCGGCAAAAGCUCAAAUUUGAAAUCUGGCGUCUUCGGCNUCCNANUUNUAAUUUNNANGGAUAUCUGCGGAGUUGGCGCCGNCCUAAGUUCCUUGGAACANGACNUCAUANAGGGUGAGAAUCCCGUGCCUGGAUGGCUGUCCAUCUCCAUGUGAAGUGUCUCCGACGAGUCGAGUUGUUUGGGAAUGCAGCUCAAAAUGGGUGGUAAAUUUCAUCUAAAGCUAAAUAUUGGCGAAAGACCGAUAGCGCACAAGUAGAGUGAUCGAAAGAUGAAAAGCACUUUGAAAAGAGAGUUAAAAAGUACGUGAAAUUGUUGAAAGGGAAGCGCUUGAGACCAGACUCAAUCUUUGGUGAUCAGCUGUGCUUCUGUACAGUGCACUUGCCAUUGAUUGGGCCAGCAUCGGUUCUGACGGUGGGAUAAAAUUUGAGGAAUGUGGCUCUCUUCGGGGAGUGUUAUANCCUCGAUCAUAAUGCUGCCAGUUGGGACCGAAGACCGCGCUUCGGCUANGAUGCUGGCGUAAUGGUCU